AAAAAAAAGCAAACCACUUUGCUUCGAUCACCACCGAUGCUUCCUCUCUUCUCUCGAAUCUUCCACUAAAGUAGAGAUUCCUACACACACUUUUGACAAUUCCACCGUGUUUUCACUUCUGUUAAAUGUACUUUUCAAAGAUUAUUCUCCACAAAUUCUUACCCAAAACAUACGUUGCUUGAUUUUAUUAUGAUUUGUAAUAAUUAAUAAUUUAUAUCUUCAAGCUGUGUGUGUGUUCUUUGUUUGGCGAAUAUAAAUACACGUCAACAACAAGGACACACUUGCGCUCUAAUUAUUUCCUGUGCUUCCAUCUUAUUUUAUAAGUUUUUGCUACUCAAAACCUAUAAUAAUUUAGAUAUUAGUUUUCUUGUUAAUUUUGUGGCCAAAAUAUGAGCGAUCCAAAGUAUGCAUAUCCUUACCCGGCACAAGGAAAUUAUCCACAAGGACCACCGCCGCAGUAUUAUCCUCAAGGUCCACCGCCGCCGGUGGGAGUACCACCGCAGUAUUAUCCUCCACCACCAAAGCGGAAACCUGGUUUUAUUGAAGGACUAUUAGCGGCUCUGUGUUGUUGCUGCUUGGUGGAUGAAUGUUGCUGUGACCCGACCAUUAUAUGUAUUGAUUAAGUUAUAAGAAAUCAUAAUCACUCACUCUAUAUCUGUGUUAAUUCAUUAUGGUUGUUAUAUGCGAUUUAUUAUUUAAUAAUCGUUGCAAUUCCAUGUGACUACUUGCUUAUUACUUACUUACUUACUUUCUAGUCUUUUAUAUAUAUCAUAAAUUUGUUUGAC